rnacentral:rRNA from 1 species
AUUGAACGCUGGCAGCAGGCCUAACACAUGCAAGUCGAACGGUAACAGGAAGAAGCUUGCUUCUUUGCUGACGAGUGGCGGACGGGUGAGUAAUGUCUGGGAAACUGCCUGAUGGAGGGGGAUAACUACUGGAAACGGUAGCUAAUACCGCAUAACGUCGCAAGACCAAAAAGGGGGACCUUCGGGCCUCUUGCCAUCGGAUGUGCCCAGAUGGGAUUAGCUAGUAGGUGGGGUAACGGCUCACCUAGGCGACGAUCCCUAGCUGGUCUGAGAGGAUGACCAGCCACACUGGAACUGAGACACGGUCCAGACUCCUACGGGAGGCAGCAGUGGAGAAUAUUGCACAAUGGGCGCAAGCCUGAUGCAGCCAUGCCGCGUGUAUGAAGAAGGCCUUCGGGUUGUAAAGUACUUUCAGCGGGGAGGAAGGGAGUAAAGUUAAUACCUUUGCUCAUUGACGUUACCCGCAGAAGAAGCACCGGCUAACUCCGUG